AAAAAAAAAUUUUGUUUCUGAAACUAAAAAUGUAAAACGAAAUGAAUGGUAUAAACUAGACGAGUUUCUGAAGAAGAACUUUCCUUUAUUAGAACUCUUAAAAUGUACUAUUCAACGAUGUAAAGAAUGCCAAUUUAAAAUAUUAAAUAUACUACUCAAAUAUUAAUCGCGCAACUACUUAUAAGUUCAAGGAUAUGUAAAAUGAAUAUUAGUAGGGUAUUAUGUACAGGAAGACGUGGAUGAGUGAUUGAAAUAGGAUUACUCAAGAACUUUUAGUGAUAAGAUAAUUCCUCCAUGUGACAUUGAAAUUUUGUUCAAGGAUAUGGAGAAAUUUGUUGAAGAAAAUUAUUUUUAAUUAACCUGACUUGACAAAACUUGAUGUAUCAAUUUUUAUGGUCUUUAUGAUCUUAAAGACCAAUUGGACGUUCCAGAAUGUGUAUAGGAGUUACCUUCUUAGUAUCAAAUGAUGUUUCUUAGUGAAUACCUGUAGAUGAAGAUGUGUCAUUACAUUCCAAAAACUUCAUAGUGUUAUCUUUAUAGCAUUUCCAUAACCAAGACGAUACAUGAGAAACCUAUUCCAAUUUAUAACGGGAAAGGGUGGUUGGAAUGUAUUUAAAGUGGAUCCAUUUAUUGAUAAUUGAGUGAAAUUUAUAAUUACUGUGACUGUUGGAACUUGAAAGUAACGCUAUUUGAAUAUUUAACACUUAAGAUACAUGAGACACCUAUUCCAAUUUAUAACGGGAGAGGAUGGUUGGAAUAUAUUUAAAAUGGAUCCAUUUAUUGAUAACUGUGUGAAAUUUAGAAGUACUGUGGCUGUUGGAACUUGAACGAUUCUAUAAUUUAGAAGACACAUGCGACACCUAUUCCAAUUUAUAACGGGAAAGGGUGGUUGGAAUGUAUUGAAAAUGGAUCCAUUUAUUGAUAACUGUGUGAAAUUUAGAAGUACUGUGGCUGUUGGAACUUGAACGAUUUUAUAAUUUAGAAGAUACAUGAGACACCUAUUCCAAUUUAUAGGUGUCCCGCAACUACCGGAUUUAAGAUCCAAGUACAAAUCUCUGUAUUUAAACAUUGAGAUAUUUUUUCUGAGAAGGUAAAUACUCCUAUUAUCAAAUUUCUAGUAGUAAAUGUUUGGCCAUUAAAUCUAGCAUGCAAAUAUUUAAUGUUGCCAAAAUUACUGUACUACAUACUAUAUUUCUGAUAAAUAAAAUUUAAA